GCCGAUCAUAUAAUAAAUCAAUAUCGAUUUUUUUAUAGAGCGUUAAAAUUUUGCGAAGCCAGGGGGCGGGACUACUUGAUUGACAGUCCGGUCCGGAAUGAUUGACAGGUCCUAUGGAGGAGGAAGCAGAGACUCUGCUCUCCUCGUUUGGAUUAAUUCUGAUAUAAUAACUGUUGGUUUAUUUAUCGGUGCAACAGCAGAACAUUUUCCACAGACAGUUUUCCUGCCCGUUGGCUUGUUUUAACCAGUUUUCUGCCUUCGGCUGAUUCUACCAGCAGACACUGAAAGGACUGAUAGUUCGAGUGAAAGUAGCAAUUCCUCCUUAAGGUCAGCGAUUGCAGCAUCUGAGGGCCUCUUCAAAAGAAGACGUAGCUGAUGAAGGCGUUCUGGAGCAGGACCAGAAAGACCACGACCAAGCAGCCUUGAGAUAUUAGGCAGCGUCUCCUUCAGACCAAAGAACUACAGACUCUUCACAACCUGCUCAAACUCUUGGUACAGGACCUCACCACACGGGUCAAGAAGGUUUCCAUCUCAAUUCUACUCUGAAGCUCACCUUCUCCUGCUCAAACUGCUGACAAAUGUUUCUGCUGCUCUAAAGUCUGGUCUCCAGAACUUCCUAAAAACUCUCUAAGUCUGCUUUGUAGAACUGUUGCAGAAAACCUCACUAAACCACAUGGAGGGGCCUCAAGAUAGUCAUCCAAAUGAAACCGUACAAAAACCAAACUAACACAACUCAAAUGCUAAAGUCUCCUGCAGCCUACCAGAGAACCUCUGAGAACAGAGAAUCAGGACAGGAACUCUUACCUUCUGGACAACCAGUGUUGGUUCUCAAACAAGAAUACAGAAUGUGUCUGACCAAAAACCUCUAAAGACUCACUACAGCCAAGAUAAGGACACAACUCAGCUGCACCAAAUCCACUAAUCACUGCACAUAUUUGCACCAUGUGCUAACUGUGGCUAAAGAACCAGAUUUACCAAGACAACUAUCCAGUAUAAAGUCCUAAAACACUCCAAGAAACACAUUAAAGACGAUUUUACUGCUGGAAGCUGCAAGUCAACGUCUAAAGAACAUACUAAAGCAACAGAGCCAAACCCGGUUCAGUGGUGGAGAGAAACAGAGGAAAUGUUUGCUGCAGCUAAAUAAAGCAGGAAGACACUGAGCUGCUCAGGUGUUCCUGAUAACACUGAGCUGCUCAGGUGUUCCUGAUAACACCAAGCAGCCACCUGGACAGCCAAUAGGAACACAGCUUCCUGGAAGUCCAGAGGGCUGGCUUAGUGAAGGAAAUUUAGUUUAAAGUUGAAGCAGAAAGUUAACAAAGAAAGUUGAAAACCACCUUCUGAUACCUGAAAUCUCUGAGUUUUCACACAAAGAACGCCUGAACAUGUCAGACUGGUUUCAUAGUAGAACCAUCAUUGUAAAAACAUCGUAGUAUGGUGUGUUGCUCAAAAAACAUUAGGACCCGGCUGUCUAGGGUCGCCGAGGAGCAACACAAAAACAGGACAGACGCUGGUUUCCAGGGGGUUAGGCGGCUAUUUAUUUGAAAGAGGAAGUUUACAACAACACAACAUGUGAGCAGAAAAAUCACAAAGUCUGUCUUUAGUU